rnacentral:rRNA from 1 species
UGGCAGGUGCUUACCAUGCAUGUCCAGCGGAAAAGCCCUUCGUGGUACUCGAGCGGCGAACGGGUGAGUAACACGUGAGCAACCUGCCCCAUGCUUUGGGAUAACCCUCGGAAACGGGGGCUAAUACCGAAUAUUCACUGCUGAUCGCAUGUUUGGUGGUGGAAAGUUUUUCGGCGUGGGAUGGGCUCGCGGCCUAUCAGCUUGUUGGUGGGGUGAUGGCCUACCAAGGCGACGACGGGUAGCCGGCCUGAUAGGGCGACCGGCCACACUGGGACUGAGACACGGCCCAGACUCCUACGGGAGGCACCAGUGGGGAAUAUUGCACAAUGGGCGGAAGCCUGAUGCAGCGACGCCGCGUGAGGGAUGACGGCCUUCGGGUUGUAAACCUCUUUCAGCAGGGACGAAGCGCAAGUGACGGUACCUGCUGAAAAAGCGCCGGCCAACUACGUGCCAGCAACCGCGGUAAG